UUAUUGCAAUAUUGUUAUGUUGAUUUGUAUUGAAGAACAGGACACCGAAGCUUGGACAAAAACACGAAUUGUAUUGCCAUGGAUGAGAGAACAGCUUUUGAAAAAUUAAAAUUGGAUAAUAAAAAGAAAAUGCGAAAUAUGCAUCGGAUGUUGGAGGGAAAUAUUGUAAUUGUUGAUUUGCAUUGAAGAACAGGACACAGGAAGCUUGGACAGAAACACGAAUUGUAUUGCCAUGGAUGGGAGAAAAACUCUUGAAAAAUGAAAAUUGGAUAAUAAAAAGAAAAUGCGAAAUAUGCAUCGGAUGUUGGAGGGAAAUUUUGUAAUUGUUGAUUUGUAUUGAAGAACAGGACACCGGAAGCUUGGGUAGAAACACGAAUUGUAUUGUCAUGGAUGGGAUAAUAAAAACAAAAUACGAAAUAUGCAUCGGAUUCUCUUCAAAUUUUACGCAUCUUAAUAUUGAUGACACAUGAUCGGUGUGAAAAUGGGAUAUAUGUUCAACCUCCUCCACAACGAGUCAGCAUUUUGAAUAACAGAGCGGUAAUAAAAAGCAUUGAAGAACAAGACACCUGGAGCUUAGACAGAAACACGAAUUGUAUUGCCAUGGAUGGGAGAAAAACUCUUGAAAAAUGAAAAUUGGAUAAUAAAAAGAAAAUGCGAAAUAUGCAUCGGAUGUUGGAGGGAAAUUUUGUAAUUGUUGAUUUGUAUUGAAGAACAGGACACCGGAAGCUUGGACAGAAACACGAGUUGUAUUGUCAUGGAUGGGAUAAUAAAAACAAAAUACGAAAUAUGCAUCGAAUUCUCUUCAAAUUUUACGCAUCCUAAUAUUGAUGACACAUGAUCGGUGUGAAAAUGGGAUAUAUGUUCAACCUCCUCCACAACGAGUCAGCAUUUUGAAUAACAGAGCGGUAAUAAAAAGCAUUGAAGAACAAGACACCUGGAGCUUAAGGUACGGUCAUACUGGGCA